AGUUCGAUUCUGGCUCAGAUUGAACGCUGGCGGGAUGCUUUUUACACAUGCAAGUCGAACGGCAGCACGGACUUCGGUCUGGUGGCGAGUGGCGAACGGGUGAGUGUCGUAUCGGAACGUGCCUAGUAGGUGGGGGAUAACUACGCGAAAGCGUAGCUAAUACCGCAUGCCCUUCGGGGGAAAGCGGGGGGACCCGGCCUCGCACUAUUAGAGCGUCGAUAUCGGAUUAGCUAGUUGGUGGGGUAACGGCUCACCCAAGGCGAUGAUCCGUAGCUGGUUUGAGAGGACGACCAGCCACACUGGGACUGCAGACACGGCCCAGACUCCUACGGGAGGCAGCAGUGGGGAAUUUUGGACAAUGGGGAAACUCCUGAUCCAGCCAUCCCGCGUGUGCGAUGAAGGCCUUCGGGUUGUAAAGCACUUUUGGCAAGAAAGAAACGGCACGGGAUAAUACCCGUGCAACUGACGGUACCUGCAGAAUAAGCACCGGCCAACUACGUGCCAGCAGCCGCGGUAAUACGUAGGGUGCAAGCGUUAAUCGGAAUUACUGGGCGUAAAGCGUGCGCAGGCGGUUCGGAAAGAAAGAUGUGAAAUCCCAGAGCUUAACUUUGAACUGCAUUUUUAACUACCGAGCUAGAGGUGUCAGAGGGAGGUGGAAUUCCGCGUGUAGCAGUGAAAUGCGUAGAUAUGCGGAGGAACACCGAUGGCGAAGGCAGCCUCCCGGGAUAACACUGACGCUCAUGCACGAAAGCGUGGGGAGCAAACAGGAUUAGAUACCCUGAAACCACGCCCAAACGAUGUCAACUAGCUGUUGGGGCCUCGGGCCUUGGUAGCGCAGCUAACGCGUGAAGUUGACCGGGCCUGGGGAGUACGGUCGCAAGAUUAAAACCCAGCACCCGAUUUGGGACCUGCACAAGCGGUGGAUGAUGUGGAUUAAUCUGAUGCAACGCGAAAACCUUUACCUACCCUUGACAUGUUCAAAUCUCGAAGAGAUUUGGGAGUGCUCGCAAGAGAACCGGAACACAGGUGCUGCAUGGCUGUCGUCAGCUCGUGUCGUGAGAUGUUGGGUUGAGUCCCGCAACGAGCGCAACCCUUGUCAUUAGUUGCUACGAAGGCGCGCACUCUAAUGAGACUGCCGGUGACAAACUGGAGGAAGGUGGGGAUACCUCAUGGCCCUUAUGGGUAGGGCUUCACACGUCAUACAAUGGUCGGGACAGAGGGUCGCCAACCCGCGAGGGGAGCCAAUCCCAGAAACCCGAUCGUAGUCCGGAUCGCAGUCUGCAACUCGACUGCGUGAAGUCGGAAUCGCUAGUAAACGGAUCAGCAUGUCGCGGUGAAUACGUUCCCGGUCUUACACACCGCCCGUCACACCAUGGGAGUGGGUUUUACCAGAAGUGUUGGCCUAACCGUAAGGAGGGCGAUUACCACGGUAGGAUUCAUGACUGGGGUGAAGUCGUAACAAGGUAG
rnacentral:rRNA from 1 species